rnacentral:lncRNA from 1 species
UCCACAUUCUGUCAGUACUAAAGUAGUCUCCUUUAUCUUGUUAUCUUCUUCAUUGGAGGUGGUGGUGGUGGUGGUACAGUCAGAAGGGAAAAGAGAUGCAGGGGAAGCUGAUGAGAGAGUGAGUGAAGCAAUGUCUGCAUUCACCAUUGCCACCAUUGGUGAAGAACAAGAAGAUGUAUGAUGAGCUUCUGUUCUUUCUGGCCAUGGCUUCAUUGUUUGGUGUUCUGGUUUUGGAGCUCUGAGUAUGGGAAAAGGGGGUUUCUUUUUUGCUUAUCUGACAGAUGCUGUUAUGCAACUGUUAUAAAUAAAGGGUUGUGUAACUUAAACCCAAAAGGAUGAAGAUCUGGAGAAGGGUAUAUAUAUAUAAUGAAUGUUGUGGUAACAGAAACAAAAGGAAAUUUUGAAAGGCUAUGGAGAAAGCUUGGAAAUGGCAAAAUCAGGAAC